GCCUUGGUAGCUCAAUUGGCUAGAGCGUGGGACUUUUACCAAUACGGAACAUCAGACCGAAUUAUUAGGAAUCCCAAGGUUGCGGGUUCGACCCCCGCCUGAGGCG